AUAGUACAACUCCAAAAGCUGUAGCUCGUUUAAGUGAAGUCGUGAAGGUAACGUUUUCCGACAGCUGACUUUAACGGCUGAACUUAUGGCGUUUACGGUGAAGGGAGUUGAUUUGGAAGCAGGGGUAAAACUGCAAUUCUCUUGCCCAAUAAUGGCAAGAAGUCGCCGCCCAAAACGGCCAAUUACCAGCACAAAUGAAAGUAAUACAUGAAUGGAACGGUUGUGACUAAUCUACCAACUAGCAAACUCUUGACUCACCAAGGACCAAUCUUUAACAUGUAAAUAAGUAUCCAAGUGUAUAAGAGAGUGAGAAAUAUUAGUACGUGAAAGCUAGGAGAUAGCAUAACCUGAUCUAAUGAAGGAGACAACUAACUCGUCUCUAGUUUGGACUCCUAUGCCAUUUGGAACGCCCGGCAAUUUAAAAAACAACCUAUCGGAAAAUGUCUUGGACUCAGAGCUUCUACUCAUGGAUAUGCGAUGCGGGGCAGGUAGUGGCAAAG